CGGAAUCUGCCUAUUUGUGGGGGAUAACGUAGGGAAACUUACGCUAAUACCGCAUACGACCUACGGGUGAAAGCGGAGGACCUUCGGGCUUCGCGCAGAUAGAUGAGCCGAUGUCGGAUUAGCUAGUUGGCGGGGUAAAGGCCCACCAAGGCGACGAUCCGUAGCUGGUCUGAGAGGAUGAUCAGCCACACUGGAACUGAGACACGGUCCAGACUCCUACGGGAGGCAGCAGUGGGGAAUAUUGGACAAUGGGCGCAAGCCUGAUCCAGCCAUGCCGCGUGGGUGAAGAAGGCCUUCGGGUUGUAAAGCCCUUUUGUUGGGAAAGAAAAGCAGCCGGUUAAUACCCGGUUGUUCUGACGGUACCCAAAGAAUAAGCACCGGCUAACUUCGUGCCAGCAGCCGCGGUAAUACGAAGGGUGCAAGCGUUACUCGGAAUUACUGGGCGUAAAGCGCACGCAGGCGGUCUGUCAAGUCGGAUGUGAAAUCCCCGGGCUUAACCUGGGAACUGCAUUCGAAACUGGCAGGCUGGAGUCUUGUAGAGGGGGGUAGAAUUCCAGGU
rnacentral:rRNA from 1 species